GAUUGACUUUUAUUCAGUGAUGUGGUCUGUCUGGACGGACAAGUGAUUUGAAUAAUGCUUGUACUGGUUUUCGUUUGCCACUUCCAUACUUCCCACUCCCAGAGUAGGUGAUGAUGACCCAUUAUGCUCAGGCAAAAUUAUGGUCAAAUUUCAAUCGUGGUUGUUUGUACUCGAUUCAGUUGCCAGGAAUAGUCAAAAUCUUUUCAUCGAACAGACAACAAAGAACGCUUACAUUGUAGCUUACAUUACGUAAUACGCAUCGCAUGAUAAUUCGAUUGUCAAUCUACUUCGUGUCUGACGUAAGACAUCAGGCCACUUUUAUGAUUAUUAAUACAAGCAGUUUAAUAAACGAGCCAAACAUAUUAUAACAUCAAAAUAUGGUGAAAUUUUAGAUGGGUUCAAACAACUAUCCACAAGCUCGAUUAAAGUAUCAGUAUUUCCAUGUAUCAGCCGCUUGACAUUUUAACACAACCCACAAGUAAAGUGGAUUUUAGUAGAUUACUUGAAACUUUAUGCUGUAAUGAGCUCUUUCGCGUAUAAAUAACAACAGUUCCUUCUUUAAUUGAAGCAAUGUUUAGGAUAAGGUUUUAAAAUAUCCUGAAAUCUGAA